rnacentral:rRNA from 1 species
GCCUACGGGACGCAGCAGUGAGGAAUAUUGGUCAAUGGGCGGGAGCCUGAACCAGCCAAGUCGCGUGAGGGACGACGGUCCUAUGGAUUGUAAACCUCUUUUGUCGGGGAACGAAGGCGCCCACGGGUGGGCGGAUGAGUGUACCCGAAGAAAAAGCAUCGGCUAACUCCGUGCCAGCAGCCGCGGUAAUACGGAGGAUCCGAGCGUUAUCCGGAUUUAUUGGGUUUAAAGGGAGCGUAGAUGGGUUGUUAAGUCAGUUGUGAAAGUUUGCGGCUCAACCGUAAAAUUGCAAUUGAUACUGGCGU